GAUGAAGAACGUAGCGAAAUGCGAUAAGUAGUGUGAAUUGCAGAAUUCAGUGAAUCAUCGAAUCUUUGAACGCACAUUGCGCCCCUUGGUAUUCCAUGGGGCAUGCCUGUUCGAGCGUCAUUUGUACCUUCAAGCUUUGCUUGGUGUUGGGAGUUUGUCUCGCCUUUGCGUGUAGACUCGCCUUAAAAUAAUUGGCAGCCGGCGUAUUGAUUUCGGAGCGCAGUACAUCUCGCGCUUUGCACUCAUAACGACAGCGUCCAAAAGUACAUUUUACACUCUUGACCUCGGAUCAGGUAGGGAUACCCGCUGAACUUAAGCAUAUCAAUAAGCGGAGGA
rnacentral:misc_RNA from 1 species